rnacentral:lncRNA from 1 species
GGAGUUAACGUUUCCUUGGGUCUGCAGACUUUCCAGAGACAUGGUGUCUACUUAGAAGAAACAAAAUCAUAAAUGCAGCACCGUGUCCAGUUCUGCACCAGACGGCCAGAUGGUGCGGAAGGCAGACCUGCGGGGUGGAGGCCCCGGCGUGGGAGAGGGCGAGGUCGGCGGCUGGCCCCCGCCCCGGGCAGAUGGUCCGCGGAGUCGGGGCGAGGCGGGCCCCUGGCUCACAGAAGGCCGGAGGUGCGCGGUGGCCGUCGGCGGAUCCGGAGGCGGGUGCGCGGUCACAGGGUGCUCAGGUGCGGCAGCGCGUCCAGGGACCCGGCUCGGUCGCGCGCGGCGGCCGCAGACUCCACGCCGCGCAGCCACUCGGUGCACUUGCGCACCAGGCCCUCGUCGGCGGCCGCGGCCUCCUCCUCGUACUCCACGUCGUCGUACUUGUGCCGGUCGUUGAGCAGCGACACCUUGAGCAGCGGGCGCAGGUCGGCGGGCCUCGGGCCGGGGUCGGGGCCCCGCAGGGCGCCGGGCGGGGGCGGGCGGCGGCCGAGGCCCGCGGCCCGGGUGGGGAGGCAGGGGCCGAGCGGGCGCCCGGCGUCGGCGGAGGCUGCGGGGGGCGCCCGGCGGGGCCGCGCCAGCAGCUGCCUCUCCAGGUGGCGCCGCUGGAUGACCAGGACGGCCUCGGGCGUGAGGCUCAGGGAGAAGCGCCGGGCGGCGUCGGGCCCGGCCGCCGAGGCCGUGCUCCCCGCGGGGCCGUCGCCGGAGCCGGCCGGCCGGGGCGCGCACGGGGCGGGGGCGCGCGGGCGGCCGGGCGCGGCCGGGGGCAGGGCGCGCGGGGAGGCCGGGCCGGGGGCGCGGCGGGCCGGCGGCCUCUUCAGGGUGGCGGAGGGCCAGGAGCUGGACAGCAGCCCCUGGGGCCGCUCGGGGGGCCGCCUCUUCUUCUCCGCGGCCGCGGCGGGCGGCGAGGGCCCGGGCGGGGCGCAGGGGGGCGCGGGCGCCUUGCGGGGCGCGCCCGGCUUCCGGGGCGGCG